rnacentral:rRNA from 1 species
GGGUUGUGAGGUUAAGCGACUAAGCGUACACGGUGGAUGCCCUGGCAGUCAGAGGCGAUGAAGGGCGUACUAAUCUGCGAUAAGCGCCGGUAAGGUGAUAUGAACCGUUAUAACCGGCGAUACCCGAAUGGGGAAACCCAGUGUGACUCGUCACACUAUCAUUAACUGAAUCCAUAGGUUAAUGAGGCGAACCGGGGGAACUGAAACAUCUAAGUACCCCGAGGAAAAGAAAUCAACCGAGAUUCCCCCAGUAGCGGCGAGCGAACGGGGAGGAGCCCAGAGCCUGAAUCAGCAUGUGUGUUAGUGGAAGCGUCUGGAAAGGCGCGCGAUACAGGGUGACAGCCCCGUACACAAAAGCGCAUGUGCUGUGAGCUCGAUGAGUAGGGCGGGACACGUGGUAUCCUGUCUGAAUAUGGGGGGACCAUCCUCCAAGGCUAAAUACUCCUGACUGACCGAUAGUGAACCAGUACCGUGAGGGAAAGGCGAAAAGAACCCCGGCGAGGGGAGUGAAAAAGAACCUGAAACCGUGUACGUACAAGCAGUGGGAGCACAGGUUUACCUGUGUGACUGCGUACCUUUUGUAUAAUGGGUCAGCGACUUAUAUUCUGUAGCAAGGUUAACCGAAUAGGGGAGCCGGAGGGAAACCGAGUCUUAAUUGGGCGUUAAGUUGCAGGGUAUAGACCCGAAACCCGGUGAUCUAGCCAUGGGCAGGUUGAAGGUUGGGUAACACUAACUGGAGGACCGAACCGACUAAUGUUGAAAAAUUAGCGGAUGACCUGUGGCUGGGGGUGAAAGGCCAAUCAAACCGGGAGAUAGCUGGUUCUCCCCGAAAGCUAUUUAGGUAGCGCCUCGUGAAUUCAUCUCCGGGGGUAGAGCACUGUUUCGGCUAGGGGGCCAUCCCGGCUUACCAACCCGAUGCAAACUGCGAAUACCGGAGAAUGUUAUCACGGGAGACACACGGCGGGUGCUAACGUCCGUCGUGAAGAGGGAAACAACCCAGACCGCCAGCUAAGGUCCCAAAGUCAUGGUUAAGUGGGAAACGAUGUGGGAAGGCCCAGACAGCCAGGAUGUUGGCUUAGAAGCAGCCAUCAUUUAAAGAAAGCGUAAUAGCUCACUGGUCGAGUCGGCCUGCGCGGAAGAUGUAACGGGGCUAAACCAUGCACCGAAGCUGCGGCAGCGACACUGUGUGUUGUUGGGUAGGGGAGCGUUCUGUAAGCCUGCGAAGGUGGCCUGUGAGGGUUGCUGGAGGUAUCAGAAGUGCGAAUGCUGACAUAAGUAACGAUAAAGCGGGUGAAAAGCCCGCUCGCCGGAAGACCAAGGGUUCCUGUCCAACGUUAAUCGGGGCAGGGUGAGUCGACCCCUAAGGCGAGGCCGAAAGGCGUAGUCGAUGGGAAACGGGUUAAUAUUCCCGUACUUGGUGUUACUGCGAAGGGGGGACGGAGAAGGCUAUGUUGGCCGGGCGACGGUUGUCCCGGUUUAAGCGUGUAGGUGUGUGUUCCAGGUAAAUCCGGUUCACUUUAACACUGAGGCGUGACGACGAGGCACUACGGUGCUGAAGCAACAAAUGCCCUGCUUCCAGGAAAAGCCUCUAAGCAUCAGGUAACAUCAAAUCGUACCCCAAACCGACACAGGUGGUCAGGUAGAGAAUACCAAGGCGCUUGAGAGAACUCGGGUGAAGGAACUAGGCAAAAUGGUGCCGUAACUUCGGGAGAAGGCACGCUGACACGUAGGUGAAGUGAUUUACUCAUGGAGCUGAAGUCAGUCGAAGAUACCAGCUGGCUGCAACUGUUUAUUAAAAACACAGCACUGUGCAAACACGAAAGUGGACGUAUACGGUGUGACGCCUGCCCGGUGCCGGAAGGUUAAUUGAUGGGGUCAGCGCAAGCGAAGCUCCUGAUCGAAGCCCCGGUAAACGGCGGCCGUAACUAUAACGGUCCUAAGGUAGCGAAAUUCCUUGUCGGGUAAGUUCCGACCUGCACGAAUGGCGUAAUGAUGGCCAGGCUGUCUCCACCCGAGACUCAGUGAAAUUGAACUCGCUGUGAAGAUGCAGUGUACCCGCGGCAAGACGGAAAGACCCCGUGAACCUUUACUAUAGCUUGACACUGAACAUUGAGCCUUGAUGUGUAGGAUAGGUGGGAGGCUUUGAAGUGUGGACGCCAGUCUGCAUGGAGCCGACCUUGAAAUACCACCCUUUAAUGUUUGAUGUUCUAACGUGGACCCGUUACCCGGGUUGCGGACAGUGUCUGGUGGGUAGUUUGACUGGGGCGGUCUCCUCCUAAAGAGUAACGGAGGAGCACGAAGGUUGGCUAAUCCUGGUCGGACAUCAGGAGGUUAGUGCAAUGGCAUAAGCCAGCUUGACUGCGAGCGUGACGGCGCGAGCAGGUGCGAAAGCAGGUCAUAGUGAUCCGGUGGUUCUGAAUGGAAGGGCCAUCGCUCAACGGAUAAAAGGUACUCCGGGGAUAACAGGCUGAUACCGCCCAAGAGUUCAUAUCGACGGCGGUGUUUGGCACCUCGAUGUCGGCUCAUCACAUCCUGGGGCUGAAGUAGGUCCCAAGGGUAUGGCUGUUCGCCAUUUAAAGUGGUACGCGAGCUGGGUUUAGAACGUCGUGAGACAGUUCGGUCCCUAUCUGCCGUGGGCGCUGGAGAACUGAGGGGGGCUGCUCCUAGUACGAGAGGACCGGAGUGGACGCAUCACUGGUGUUCGGGUUGUCAUGCCAAUGGCACUGCCCGGUAGCUAAAUGCGGAAGAGAUAAGUGCUGAAAGCAUCUAAGCACGAAACUUGCCCCGAG